ACACGGCCCAGACUCCUACGGGAGGCAGCAGUGGGGAAUAUUGGACAAUGGGCGCAAGCCUGAUCCAGCCAUACCGCGUGUGUGAAGAAGGCCUUCGGGUUGUAAAGCACUUUAAGCAGGGAGAAAAAGUUAUAAGCUAAUACCUUAUAACCUUGAUGUUACCUGCAGAAUAAGCACCGGCUAAUUCCGUGCCAGCAGCCGCGGUAAUACGGAAGGUGCAAGCGUUAAUCGGAAUUACUGGGCGUAAAGCGCGCGUAGGUGGUUUGUUAAGUUGGAUGUGAAAGCCCUGGGCUCAACCUAGGAACUGCAUCCAAAACUAACUCACUAGAGUACGAUAGAGGGAGGUAGAAUUCAUAGUGUAGCGGUGGAAUGCGUAGAUAUUAUGAAGAAUACCAGUGGCGAAGGCGGCCUCCUGGAUCUGUACUGACACUGAGGUGCGAAAGCGUGGGUAGCGAACAGGAUUAGAUACCCUGGUAGUCCACGCCGUAAACGAUGACAACUAGCUGUUGGGAGACUAUGUCUUUCAGUGGCGCAGCUAACGCUUUAAGUUGUCCGCCUGGGGAGUACGGCCGCAAGGCUAAAACUCAAAUGAAUUGACGGGGACCCGCACAAGCGGUGGAGCAUGUGGUUUAAUUCGAUGCAACGCGAAAAACCUUACCUACUCUUGACAUACUUGGAAGCUCUUGUAAUGAGAGUGUGCUUUUAAGAACCAAGAUACAGGUGCUGCAUGGCUGUCGUCAGCUCGUGUCGUGAGAUGUUCCGUUAAGUCGGAUAACGAGCGCAACCCUUACCCUUAUUUGCCAGCGAUUCGGUCGGGAACUAUAAGGGGACUGCCGGUGAUAAACCGGAGGAAGGUGAGGACGACGUCAAGUCAUCAUGGCCCUUACGAGUAGGGCUACACACGUGCUACAAUGGAAGAUACAGACGGACGCUAAGCCGCGAGGUGGUGCUAAUCCUAAAAAGUCUUUCGUAGUCCGGAUUGGAGUCUGCAACUCGACUCCAUGAAGUCGGAAUCGCUAGUAAUCGCGGAUCAGCAUGCCGCGGUGAAUACGUUCUCGGGUCUUGUACACACCGCCCGUCACACCAUGGAAGUGGAUUGCACCAGAAGUAGAUAGUCUAACCUUAGGGAGGGCGUUUACCACGGUGUGCUUCAUGACUGGGGUGAAGUCGUAACAAGGUAGCCGUAGGGGAACCUGUGGCUG
rnacentral:rRNA from 1 species